GACGUAGGGCGCGAGCGUUGUCCGGAUUUAUUGGGCGUAAAGAGCUCGUAGGCGGCUUGUCGCGUCGUUCGUGAAAACCUGCAGCUCAACUGCAGGCUUGCGGGCGAUACGGGCAGGCUAGAGUUCGGUAGGGGAGACUGGAAUUCCUGGUGUAGCGGUGAAAUGCGCAGAUAUCAGGAGGAACACCAAUAGCGAAGGCAGCUCGCUGGGACGGUACUGACGCUAAGGCGCGAAAGCGUGGGGAGCGAACAGG
rnacentral:rRNA from 1 species